rnacentral:rRNA from 1 species
GACGAACGCUGGCGGCGCGCCUAACACAUGCAAGUCGAACGAGCGAGCGAGAGCUUGCUUUCUCAAGCGAGUGGCGAACGGGUGAGUAACGCGUGAGGAACCUGCCUCAAAGAGGGGGACAACAGUUGGAAACGACUGCUAAUACCGCAUAAGCCCACGACCCGGCAUCGGGUAGAGGGAAAAGGAGCAAUCCGCUUUGAGAUGGCCUCGCGUCCGAUUAGCUAGUUGGUGAGGUAACGGCCCACCAAGGCGACGAUCGGUAGCCGGACUGAGAGGUUGAACGGCCACAUUGGGACUGAGACACGGCCCAGACUCCUACGGGAGGCAGCAGUGGGGAAUAUUGCACAAUGGGGGAAACCCUGAUGCAGCGACGCCGCGUGGAGGAAGAAGGUCUUCGGAUUGUAAACUCCUGUUGUUGAGGAAGAUAAUGACGGUACUCAACAAGGAAGUGAUGGCUAACUACGUG